CUCAGGAAGUUGUGCUUUCUAACUCAUAGUAGCUUAGUAGUGGUUGCCUUCUGCAUCCCUCCACUACUUUAUAUGCUGUCUGGAUUCAAGACAAUCAGGAAAGCUAUUCCUACAUUGUCCAAAACUACUACUACUACCUACUGAGAAUAUUUUGCCUUAGUUUGCCUCACCCCCCGUUCCAUCUUUAUCCUAUAACAACUGAU